UACUGGCAGGAUCAACCAGGUAGCAUUCCUCAUCGACGCCGCACGGGCACGUCCGCGAGCCAUGCAGGCUCCCGACCGAGACCCGCGCGGCCGUCGCCCGCAGCAAAGCGUGGAAACGCUUUUUUUUCUUCGGGGGCAUCCGAGGCCGAGGCCUCGAGGCCGCUCAAUUUUCCGCAUCCGAGGCAUCUAGCACGUCGCCGUGCGUCGCCAAGCCAGGCACCCGAUGGAGGUACGAGGACGGCGAGCACGACGAGCGCUUCUUGGUCCGCCCCGCACAGCUUUUCCUUUCGGAGCCGCCGAACGGGACGGAAGCGGGACAACCCAGCCGACAGUUUUCCGCACCGACAGGAAACCAGCCCACGGGACCCGACAUCGGCCCAAUGCAUGGGCACGGCAGCCAAGCACCGAUGGGUGGGGGGCGCGCGCUGGGAGUGCCGUCGCUGCCCG
rnacentral:misc_RNA from 1 species